rnacentral:misc_RNA from 1 species
GAAGCAUCAAGCAGAAGGAAAGAGUACUGAUGAUCAAGAUAAUUUGAUGAACAUUGAAAUAAGUAAGGUGGAGGGAGAAGUAACUGAGAAUGGCAGCAAUGCCAACGAGGCCAAGCCUUGAGCAGUGGUUCUCUCUAACUCUAACAUUUUGCUCUUUUUGCUUCAUUUGGAUGACUGUAGUGUUGUCAAUUAUAGAUACUCUGAUUGUUCAUGAGAGACAUCUGUAUGCAAAACCAUA